CCUACGGGAGGCAGCAGUGAGGAAUAUUGGUCAAUGGCCGCAGGGCUGAACCAGCCAAGUCGCGUGAGGGAUGACGGUCCUAUGGAUUGUAAACCUCUUUUGUCAGGGAGCAAAGGGCGCCACGUGUGGCGUUCUGCGAGUACCUGAAGAAAAAGCAUCGGCUAACUCCGUGCCAGCAGCCGCGGUAAUACGGAGGAUGCGAGCGUUAUCCGGAUUUAUUGGGUUUAAAGGGUGCGCAGGCGGAAUGUAAAGUCAGCGGUAAAAUUUCGGGGCUCAACCCCGACGUGCCGUUGAAACUGGCGGUCUUGAGUGAGGGAGAAGUAGGCGGAAUGCGUGGUGUAGCGGUGAAAUGCAUAGAUAUCACGCAGAACUCCGAUUGCGAAGGCAGCAUACCGGCGCUCAACUGACGCUCAUGCACGAAAGCGUGGGGAGCGAACAGGAUUAGAUACCCUAGUAGUC
rnacentral:rRNA from 1 species